rnacentral:rRNA from 1 species
AACGAACGCUGGCGGCAUGCCUAACACAUGCAAGUCGAACGAGACCUUCGGGUCUAGUGGCGCACGUGUGCGUACCGCGUGGGAACCUGCCCUUAGGUUCGGAAUAACUCCCCGAAAGGGGUGCUAAUACCGGAUAAUGUCUUCGGACCAAAGAUUUAUCGCCUUUGGAUGGGCCCGCGUUGGAUUAGCUAGUUGGUAGGGUAAAAGCCUACAAAGGCUACGAUCCAUAGGUGGUCUUAAAGGAUGAUCCGCCACACUGGAAAUGGGACACGCCCCAGAUCCCGGCGGGAGGGAGGGGUGGGGAAUAUUGGAAAAGGGCCGAAAGCAGAAACCAGCAUGGCGGGUUGAGGGAUUAAGGCUUUGGGGUGUUAAGGCCUUUUUACCCGGGGUGAUAAGACGGGUCCCGGGGAAAAAAGCCCCGGCAACCUCGGG